rnacentral:snRNA from 11 species
UAAAUUAACCAGAUGCGGUCGAUGGGCAAUCAAGAAGAAUCAUAGGCUAGGUUAGUGAUCUCCGUUAUUGCACUUUGGACGGGCGCUGACGUAAGUCUCUCCAAGGAGAGCCUACGUCAUAAUUUGUGGAUGUGGGGACCUGCGUUCGCGCUGUCCCUUC